CAAAGUAUAGCUAAAUCAAAGCCUCUCACUUACACCGAGAAAAUGUUUGUUAUACCCAAACUACUUUGA
rnacentral:tRNA from 1 species